GAUGAACGCUGGCGGCGUGCCUAAUACAUGCAAGUCGAGCGAACGGACGAGAAGCUUGCUUUUCUGAUGUUAGCGGCGGACGGGUGAGUAACACGUGGAUAACCUACCUAUAAGACUGGGAUAACUUCGGGAAACCGGAGCUAAUACCGGAUAAUAUUUUGAACCGCAUGGUUCAAAAGUGAAAGACGGUCUUGCUGUCACUUAUAGAUGGAUCCGCGCUGCAUUAGCUAGUUGGUAAGGUAACGGCUUACCAAGGCAACGAUGCAUAGCCGACCUGAGAGGGUGAUCGGCCACACUGGAACUGAGACACGGUCCAGACUCCUACGGGAGGCAGCAGUAGGGAAUCUUCCGCAAUGGGCGAGAGCCUGACGGAGCAACGCCGCGUGAGUGAUGAAGGUCUUCGGAUCGUAAAACUCUGUUAUUAGGGAAGAACAUAUGUGUAAGUAACUGUGCACAUCUUGACGGUACCUAAUCAGAAAGCCACGGCUAACUACGU
rnacentral:rRNA from 1 species